UACCAGCACCCCGAGUGGUCAGGAUGAUUAUUUGGCCUAAAGCAUCCGUAGCCGGCCCCGUAAGUCUUCCGUUAAAUCCACCUGCUCAACAGUUGGGCUGCGGGAGAUACUGUGAGGCUAGGAGGCGGGAGAGGCGAGGGGUAUUCCUUGGGUAGGGGUAAAAUCCUCUGAUCCAUGGAGGACCACCAGUGGCGAAGGCGUCUCGCCAGAACGCGCUCGACGGUGAGGGAUGAAAGCUGGGGGAGCAAACCGG
rnacentral:rRNA from 1 species